UACGGAGGGUGCAAGCGUUAUCCGGAUUCACUGGGUUUAAAGGGUGCGUAGGUGGGUUGGUAAGUCAGUGGUGAAAUCUCCGAGCUUAACUUGGAAACUGCCAUUGAUACUAUCAGUCUUGAAUACCGUGGAGGUCAGCGGAAUAUGUCAUGUAGCGGUGAAAUGCUUAGAUAUGACAUAGAACACCAAUUGCGAAGGCAGCUGGCUACACGAAUAUUGACACUGAUGCACGAAAGCGUGGGGAUCAAACAGG
rnacentral:rRNA from 1 species